UCUCUCUUUCUCGCUAUCUUCCCAUUUUCUCUACUUCUCUCUGUCCUAUUCAAAUAAGAUUUUAAGAAAUAGAGAAAGAAAGAAAGAAAGAAAGAAAGAAGAAUGGAAGUAGUAACUAAAUACUGAUGCUAGACUUGAGUCAUAUGCUUUCAGUAGAAGGUAAAAAUAAGCUUUAAAACAGCGGUUACA